rnacentral:rRNA from 1 species
GGGCCCGCACAAGCAGUGGAGUAUGUGGUUUAAUUCGACGCAACGCGAAGAACCUUACCAGGUCUUGACAUUGAGCGAAUAUGCAAGAGAUUGUAUAGUUACUUUAGGGUAACGCAAAAACAGGUGGUGCAUGGUUGUCGUCAGCUCGUGUCGUGAGAUGUUGGGUUAAGUCCCGCAACGAGCGCAACCCUUACCAUUAGUUACUACGGAAAGAAGAGGACUCUAAUGGGACUGCCGUUGAUAAAACGGAGGAAGGUGGGGAUGACGUCAAAUCAUCAUGCCCUUUAUGACCUGGGCUACACACGUACUACAAUGGCGCUAAACAAAUUGAAGCGAACUCGCGAGGGGGAGCAAAACGAAAAAAAGCGUCUCAGUUCGGAUUGCAGGCUGAAACUCGCCUGCAUGAAGAUGGAAUUGCUAGUAAUCGUAGAUCAGAAUGCUACGGUGAAUACGUUCUCGGGCCUU